rnacentral:lncRNA from 1 species
GUCUGGAUCUCUUGAAUUAACAUCGUUAAACCAUGAAUAAAAUCUUAUUUUGGCAGAUAAUUUCCUCUGGUCUACGGUAAACAGCAUCCAUUGCUUAUUCAGUCAGGUUCCUGGAAUACAGGCAAUAAAUAUGCCUCUUUUAUAUUGUUUUUCUGGAAGUUUGGAUAAUAACGCUGGAUAGAAGCUGGUCUUUACCAGUCUAAGACAGGCUGCACUCAGUUUUCUCACUCUCUAAAGAAAGAUAUUACAGACUGACACGUAUGCUUCAGCACAAUUUUGGGGACCUUCGUGUCCCUGUGAAUUGACGGAGCCACGAAGGGGCACCUGCAUGAGGCCGUGUCCCUUCCUACAUGGCCAGGAAGGCUUUGCUCAGUUUUGGAGUGGUUCUUACCAUGUUUUUCCACUCCGCAAGUACAAGUAGGAUUGAUGUAAGGGUCUGCAGCACCAGGCAAUUUGUCAGGUUGCACAACGUGUCUGUGAGUGAAGCAACCACGAGUGAGGCAAGGUCCAGGAUGGCUGCAGUGCAGUGAAAAUAUGUGCAGCUCCACACAGAAAGAAAAAAAAAAAAAAAAAGCCUUCCAAAUGUCACAAAAUUGCUCAGUCAGAAAUCCCAAAUAAUUAAAGAAAUAAGCCAGAUGCCCUACAUACAGGGAAGGACCGUGUAUUUUAGGGGCUGGGUUUAAGAGCUUUAAAAAGUAACAGAAAAUGGAGUCCCUGUUUCAGAGAGGCCACAUAGGGUGGGUACCACAGGGCCCCACACAGACAGACUGACCAACCAGACAGAGAGCUCAGUGCUGAGUGGAAGGGCCCAGGCACCCCCAGUGUACAGUGGGUCUGUGUGAAAACUUUGGUCAGUAAAAUAAGUUCAUGGAUACCUCAGGUUGGAGGAAAACUCUUUUAUUGAUACGUAAACCAGCAUGAGGAGGAUGAAAACACAAAUUCUCUUACAAACCACACCAGCCAGAGAUAGGGCUGUGAAACACUGAGAAUAUAGGUGUACCACACAAACUUAGGCAGUGAAGUGCUUUAACAUCCUCACAGCUACUGCCAGCCCUCUAAAAACCUCUCUCCAUUCUUGCAUAGAGCCACACAUUCCUCCCUUCCUUCCCCCAACCUUUUGUUUCACUGUAUUUCUGUUUGGAAACAUCUCUUCUGGUUGCCAGAGUGUUGCUUUCAUUUGCAGCUCUACUUUGUUUUGCAAAAUCGUUCAGGAAUUCUUCUUGAUCUGAAGACAAGCAUUUGAAAGCAUUUCAGCAAAGCCUGGAGGAAGACAGACCUCUAUUUAUUCUUGUGAUCCGCUUUCUCUAUCAUUUUCCUCUCUCUUUUCCUUGAAUCUGCUGAUGGCCACUAAUUUGUGCAUUUAGAAUCCAAGGAAAAGCCCGCUUUUAUAUUUUCAGAAAUAGACGGUGUUAUUUUCUACCCUUUGCAAGAUGCCCACACGUGCAAUUUGCUUCCUGCCUCCAGCUCUGAAAUCACCACAACAAUGCCUUCUGACAUCAAGGUCUCAGGGGCUCCUCUACAGCAAAACACUUGAACAAACACUUCUGGUUGAGCCCCUGCAUAUCCUUAUUGAACAUGGAGAAGGCCUGGGAGUAUAGCUUGAAAUGCUCAGAUUUAUUUAUUUAUUUAUUUAUCUAUUUUUGCAUGAGGAUUAUAAAGAUUUGCAUUUCAGAAUGGAACUGAUGACAUUUUUUACGCAGAAAGUUGCUUUUAGAUUGAAGUGGCUGUUCAGCUGAUAGCAAAAACUUCACGUCGUUCAAUACUCCACGAGAGGAAAAACAAUGCACUCCUCAAAGCCAAGCUUCCAACUGGAAACCGUUUAUUUUUUCCUUCAUCCUUACAAAACAUGAAAAAUUAUGAAAAUUGCAAAAGCAUUAUCCAUAGGUCUACACUAAAAAAAAAAAAAAAAAAAAUGACAUGAAAACAAAAGGAUAAGAAAUCCGUUGUUUGUUUUUUCCUGCUUUGCAGAGGAGAUCAGAUAUGGUCACUCCUGAGGCAGAGCCCGAUUCCCCAUGGUCAGAGUGAUCAAGUUAGCCGUUCCUAAACUUUCAGGCUUCUUCAGACUGUUCUCUUCUCUGGAAGGAUAAUUUGUAAUGCUGUUUUCUGUAGCUGCAAAUAAGCUUUAAAGCACUGGAAAAUUGCCCCAGCAAUCUGUUCUUUUUACCUUAACACAGCCAGAAACAUCUCAGGGAUUGUAUUUAGUGCCUGGAGACUUCUCCAGGAUCACUGUGUGGGCACAGUACCACAAAACCAGUGAAGAUGCCCCAGGGCUGAACUGCUGAGUGAAGAAUCGCAAAUAUUUGCAUCAGACAGAUGCACUUAGGGAUAGUAACCAGUUCCUGACCUGGGGAAUUCUGCAGGAAGUCUUCACCUGAGUAGUCUGAAAGAUCAGGCCUGGUGUCAUUCAGAUUAAGAUGUCGCUGUGCUGUUAGCUUGAAUGGAGUGUGGGAUUUAUGUAAACAUCUUCCCCUUACUGAGCAUCAGUCAAUUCAAACGACUUCUAUAAGUGGUUUCCAUGCUAAUGAGGACUGUGUUUACAUCUUGAGCAGCUGUUGCUGUUUUUUUGGUCCUGUGCAAUAAAUAAAUAAAUAAAUAAAUAAAUAAAAUAAAAAAUAAAACAAAAACCUCUUUAACUUCACAUUUAUUACCCUGUUUCCAUUCCUCUUGGACAUACUGGCUGCUUUGUUCCUCUGGCAGCAAAAAAAAAAAAAAAAGAAAAGAAAAAAACCCAAAAAACCAACACAGGCAAUUUGGCCAGAAGAAGGAGUAUUCCCAACCCCACAGGAUCCCCAAGUUUUGUGAAGUGCUGUUGUGAUUCCCCUGCCAGCCCCUUUCCAGAGAUGAGAAAGGAAAGAAAAGACACAGCAGGAAGGAAGGGAAAGGGCUUUUUUUUUUCUUUUUCCUACUGCAAAUGCACAGAGACACCUUCUGCUGAUGUCACUGCAGCUCAUUUUCUGCCUCUCUGUGAUACGGGGAAGGAUCUGGCAGCCCGGGACAGCAGGGCUCUGCCCUGAUCAUUGCUCUGUUGACAGUAAAUGCUCAGCAGCUGUCACACCUGUGUCAGACACCUCCAGUGAAAUGCCGUGGGGGGUGCCUUCAAGGCCUAGGGCUGGGAGUUCCUCUAGGUUGUUUGAAGCUGGUUUCUGGCCACCCUAAUCAUUGCUGUUUCCCGAGAGAAGCUCGUAGUCCAUAUUGCUGUCUUAAGAAUGAAACGUUAAGACCCGUUCUUCAGUGUUUAUUCUUUGCAGACACAAGCAUAAAAAAAAACACCCUGUGCAAUUCCGUUUGCAACCCGAGUACUUUCAACAGAUGGAAGCACAAGGAAGAACGUAGCUCUUUAUAUCUUAUUCACUCUGCAAUUCACAUGUCCCUGACAAGAGGGUUUUUUUUUCAAAUUUGGGACCUAUGCAUCAACAAAUCUUACCUUGCCAAGCUGUUCCAAGUCAAGUCUGAUGAGAGCCACCUUCGAUUUAUUUUUUUUGCUUGCAUUAAAUGUCUUUUUGAACUCUAAUGUGGGUGGCUGACCUUUAGAAUAAGAAGCCAUGCUGGUGCAAUGCAGUGAGAAGCACUGAACAGGAGCACUGACAGCGGAAUGAGAAGUGACUGGUGGGGCUGAGGUACACCUGUCACAUUAACGCUGCCAAGGGAACUUUGUGCUCACGUUUGUUGUUGGCGGUGGUGUUUUCCCUAUAAUCUCACUUUGCAUAUUAGCUGGGGAGAUUUACAUCCGCAAGUCCAGCUCCAGAGGCCCCCUGCAUGAUGUUUAGAGGAACUCUGGUUUCUUUUCCCCAGAAUGCAAGAUCAAGAGAGGGCUUAUGCAUUAAAAAUGAUAAACUAAAUCAAACAGCAGUGGCUUAUUCGUUAAAGUAAACAGAGCAAAGGCUCGGUGUCAGCCACAGCAGCAGUCAGGUGCAUGCUGACAAAGGAAAGAGAAUGAAAAAACUGUUUUUCCUAACAGAAGAAGGUAUUGGAGCUUGUUUACGUUUUCCAGAGAGGAAAAUAAUCUUUUUAAAGAAAGCAGAUUGAUCUUUUACAUUUUAACACCACCACCAACCCAGCAGAAGGCAGAGUUGUUUGCAGUGAAACCACUGAACUUUAUCCAGCUUAUGGCUCUGUUUGGAAAAGUGCUGAGCAACUCAGAUUCAAAGAGGUCGCCAGAAAACUAGGUGAUGCUCCUGGAAUCGAGCACAAAGUCAUGAUGAGGCAAUGGUUAAGGCAAUGACUCCCAGAUUUACCAUUAAAAAGCUGCAGGCGAGGAACUCUAGACCCGUGAGCAACUCUGACAACAGGAGACAAAACUGCCUGAACAGCAGCACUGCAGUGACUCUUGGCAACAGCAUCCUGCUACCUACUCUUGGUUUGGAGCCACAUCCAAGUGAUACUACUGGGUUAAAUGAAGAUUAGGAGGAGUGAAAAGCAAUGCAGGCCGUGUGCUGGAAAGUUCUGGAAGGAGGUCCCUGAAGGAUGGCUCAGUGUUGACUUCCAGACAAAUUUAAAGAUUACAUCAGUCAAUGGACAUGUUCUUAGCUGCUUUGUAUCCCACGCUCUGAAGUCCAAUCUGGAGUGCAGCCCCUUGUCUCUACCUGUUGGAGUGCAGCACUGCCAGCGCUGGGAUCAUGUUUUCAUCACGUCCAUGAAAACAACAUCACACAGAGGGGAUUUGCUGAGUAACAACAACCCAUUUCUGUCCUCAUAACAAGGACUAUGUCUGCAUGUGGAUAUUUUUUAUUGGUUGCAGCAGUUAUAUUUUUAUUAGCGCUGCGGCUUUUUAACAGUAAUGGCAAGAUUUUAUAACUCUUCUGAGCCAGAUCAGUAACUGCUGCCCCUGAAGAGCAGCCCUUACUUUACCCUCUUCCUUCUCUACUUCCAUAUUCCUCUGCCCCCGCUCAAUUCUCCUUACUUUUCAUGUCUUUUCCCACUGAUACAAAGCCAUACCCCCAGAACUUCAUCCCAGUAAUGUUUUUCCCACCAGCAAAGCCAGUCUGAGAGGUUCUUCCUUUUCUUAUUCCUUUACCUGUUCCCACUCUCUGCUAUGCUUCUCCUACUUCUUUCCCAGAUGUACUUAUACAACAAUUUGUACAGUUAUGUUGCCAACCACAUUGUUGAAAUCAUCCAAAUCCCACUUUAGAAGUAGUAGUGGUUUUUUGUUUUUGUUUUUAAUUCCUCUAUAUCCUUCCGGUAGUUGUGAUCAGAGCACAGCCUAACUCAGUCCCACAGUCCCUCCAGUCAGCACAGCUGAGGGCACUAAACUGCAGUGGUGAGCCAGUUGAGUUCGCAAAGAAGUGAACCAAGCAUGCCAGUAUAGGGUACUAACGAGGUCUUUUGCCUAAAGAAGCUGUGGUGCCCCAUCCCUGGAGGUGCUGAAGGCCAGGUUGGAUCGGGCCCUGGGCAGCUGACCUGGCGGGGGCAGCCCUGCCCACAGUGGAUGGGUUGGAGCUUUUAAUCUUUAAAUUCCUUUCCAUCUGAAGCCAUUCUGUGAUUCUAUGACUCUCUUUCACACGGCUUCGCUAUUAGAGGAGAUGAAUGUCUUAAGUUUGUUUCUAGUAAAGACUGCAGAGAAUGCAAACUGAUAAUUUUCAGCAAGGGAUGAACUAGAAAUUCAAACCACUGUAAGUAUGAGUCUCUACAGUGACAAACAAAAGGCUAAGAGCUUCAAGGUGGCAGCUGUGUUUUCAGCUUUGAUCAUAGAAAUUGAGAGUUGGUGCCAGUUGGGAACCAUAAAGCCUUUCCUGGGAUCAACGAAGAAACAAUUUUGCUGUAGGAACUUGUGGGUCUUAUUUGCUAGACCUGACUGAUCUGCGCUAUGUCUGUUACCUGCAGGUAUAACGAAGAACACUUUCUAGGUUUGAAAUGAAAAAGUGUUCAUCAUCAUAAUUGUGGCUGCUUGGUAUCAGUCCGUGUUAAAUACAGUAUGAUAUUCUUCAAAGUCCAGACUUCAGAAAUCUUCAAACCUACAACCUUUUAAUAGUUCUUUGUCUAGUGUUACGUGCACCCUCAAUCAACAGCACAUAAAGAACUCCAUCAUGCUGUAAUUUAUGUGCUUGUGUAAACUACAACUGCCAGUUUAGAUGUUUGUAUGAGAUACAGAUUUUUGUUUGUAAAGAAUAUAUAAGCUGAGAACUGAAUUGUUUGAACACCAGGCAGAAGGGAACAUUGUCUCCUCAGUGGGUUAAUGACUUGUUUAUACCAAACAUAGAAAGAGUUCUCAGGAAGUUUCUGCUCAUGAGGUGAUGACUCCACCUUGCUACCUGAUAGCAGCAUUAGUAAGUCUCAAGUCAAAUACUGGAGAAAGUCAGUAAUGCUUCAGAAGUGUCAAAAUUAUCACUCUGAUUAAAUUGCAUAUCACAGGUAUCUGUGAUGGGGGUAAAGGCUUGGGUCUGAAUAUUGCUUCAAUGAUAAUCUGAG